AAGUCAUCCUUGCUACCUACAUGCUAGUGGGAGAAGCAAACUGUUGAUGACAACUCAAGUAGACCACCCUGCCCUUUGCAGUCACUUGGGAACAGUUCCUGACGGCCUUUCAUGCAGAGUACCUCCCAGAGCAUCUCCGAUAUCUGAAGGGGAUGGAGUUUACACACUUGGUUCAGAGGGACAUGACUGUAUCAGAAUAUACUCGCAAGUUCCUAGAGUUGGGUCGAU
rnacentral:lncRNA from 1 species